rnacentral:ncRNA from 2 species
AUUAUAAUUAUAGCGCCCGAACUUGAAUGGGGUCGUGUCAUACAUUUAAGUUGACGAGGAUGGGGAGUAUCGAAAAUUCGGCGGAUGCCCCACGGUAAAGAGAUAUCGAAAGAUGCCUAUAAAAUCGGGAAGUGAUUCCCGACACAGAGAGAGCAUCCUUCUCAUUG